GGUAGCAUGCCAGAGUGGUUAAUGGGUAGGACUUGAAUUUUCAUUCCAAAUAUCCUAUGGCUUCGGCCUCGUAGGUUCGAACCCUACUGCUAUCG